UAGCGCUGGCGGUGUGUGUUAGACAUGCAAGUCGGGCGGGGUGCAUCGUGGUAGCAAUACCGUGGUGUACUUAGCGGCGAACGGGUGAGUAAUACAAGGGCAACCAUCCCUCAGGAGGGGCACAACCCACCGAAAGGUAGGCUAAUACCCCAUGUGCUGCAGCGAAGGCAUCUUUGCUAUAGGAAAGGCGCCGCAAGGUGCCACCUCUGGACGGGCUCUUGUCCUAUCAGCUUGAUGGCGGGGUAACGGCCCACCAUGGCGUAGACGGGUAGCCGGCGUGAGAGCGUGACCGGCCACAGGGGAACUGCGACGCGGUCCCCACUCCUACGGGAGGCAGCAGUCUAGAAAUUUGGGCAAUGGGCGAAAGCCUGACCCAGCGACACCGCGUGGAGGAUGAAGUCUUUCGGGAUGUAAACUCCUGACAGGCGGAAAGAUGCCGUUUCGGAGUAACUGCCGAGACGGUGACGGUACUGCCAAAGGAAGCCCCGGCUAACUACGUGCCAGCAGCCGCGGUAAUACGUAGGGGGCAAGCGCUGUCCGGAUUUACUGGGCGUAAGGGGUGUGCAGGCGGACUGGCAGGUCGAUGGUGAAAGCUCACGGCUCAACCGGGAAAGUGCUGUCGAAACUACCAGUCUAGAGGGCGGAAGAGGAAACUGGAACUUCCGGUGUAGCGGUAAAAUGCGUAGAUAUCGGAAGGAACGCCAAUAGCGAAGGCAGGUUUCUGGUACGUACCUGACGCUGAAACACGAAAGCUAGGGGAGCAAACAGGAUCAGAUACCCUGGUAGUCCUAGCUGUAAACGAUGAUCAUUAGGCGUGGGGAUUUUCCCCGUGCCGGAGCUAACGCGUUAAAUGAUCCGCCUGGGGACUACGGCCGCAAGGUUGAAACUCAAAGGAAUUGACGGGGACCCGCACAAGCGGUGGAGUAUGUGGUUCAAUUCGAUGCUACGCGAAAAACCUUACCUGGGCUUGACAUGCAAGUGGUAGCGACCCGAAAGGGAAGCGACCGGGGUUUACUCUGGAGCUUGCACAGGUGCUGCAUGGCUGUCGUCAGCUCGUGCCGUGAGGUGUAUGGUUAAGUCCCGCAACGAGCGCAACCCCUGCCCAUAGUUGCUAACCAGUGAUGGUGCACUCUAUGGGGACUGCCUCCGUCAAGGAGGAGGAAGGUGGGGAUAACGUCAAGUCAUCAUGGUCUUUAUGCCCCAGGGCUACACACGUACUACAGUGGCCGUUACAAAGGGAAGCUACAUCGCGACGUGAUGCCAAUCCUUUAAAAGCGGCCAUGGUUCGGAUUGCAGGCUGCAACUCGCCUGCAUGAAGAUGGAAUCGCUAGUAAUCGCGGAUCAGCAUGCCGUGGUGAAUACGUUCCCGGGUCUUGUACACACCGCCCGUCACGCCAUGGGAGUCGGCAAUGCCCGAAGCCCCUCUAUUAUUGAGGGCCCAAGGCAGGGCCGAUGACUGGGGCGAAGUCGUAACAAGGUA
rnacentral:rRNA from 1 species